rnacentral:rRNA from 1 species
CUACGGGGCGCAGCAGUGAGGAAUAUUGCACAAUGGGGUUAACCCUGAUCCAUCAACGCCGCGUGGAGGAUGACGCAUUUCGGUGUGUAAACUCCUUUUAUAUGUCAAGAAAAUGACGGUAGCAUAUGAAUAAGCACCGGCUAACUCCGUGCCAGCAGCCGCGGUAAUAGGAGGGUGCAAGCGUUACUCGGAAUCACUGGGCGUAAAGGACGCGUAGGCGGGUUGGAAAGUCAGGUGUGAAAUCCUACAGCUUAACUGUAGAACUGCACUUGAAACUUCUAAUCUAGAGUAUGGGAGGGGGAGAUGGAAUUAGUGGUGUAGGGGUAAAAUCCGUAGAUAUCACUAGGAAUACCUAAAGCGAAGGCGAUCUCCUGGAACAUUACUGACGCUAAGGCGUGAAAGCGUGGGGAGCAAACAGGAUUAGAUACCCUCGUAGUC